rnacentral:rRNA from 1 species
UACGGGGGGGGGCAAGCGUUGUCCGGAUUUAUUGGGCGUAAAGAGCGUGUAGGCGGCCAUACAGGUCAGCUGUGAAAACUCGAGGCUCAACCUCGAGACGUCGGUUGAAACCGUAUGGCUAGAGUCCGGAAGAGGAGAGUGGAAUUCCCGGUGUAGCGGUGAAAUGCGCAGAUAUCGGGAAGAACACCCGUGGCGAAGGCGGCUCUCUGGGACGGUACUGACGCUGAGACGCGAAAGCGUGGGGAGCGAACAGG